AAUAUGAGCUAAAAUCUAGUCCUGUUUAGACAGGGAUCCAAUGACUUUAUAUACAUGCCAAUGGACCUUUGACUAUAUCAUGUAUAUUUCUUUUACUGCCAUGGCUAUAUGUUUAUAUAUAGCUGUUUCAGGUGCAGUAGCAGCUAUUUCAGAGAGCAUCCACCCCUAGUUUUCACGAUUGCCUUAUCUCAUAAAGGCAGCAAGCGAUUCUCACUUCUGAUUUUUAGAUGCCCAAAAUCUUUUCUCUUCUGUAGUAAUGGUGUUGUCGACCGCGUUUUAGGGGAUCGGGCCCUUAAGGAGAAACCCGAUCCGGUCCUGAGAGAACGGACCUUGGCGGAGCCAAUAGGAAAAUAUGAGCCGCAAUACAACCUGAAGCCGAAAUGAAGAAGGUCCGCCAAAGUUGAAGGAAAAUCCGCCAAGGAGUCUUUAUUGAGCAAUUCAGCUGAAGAGGACUCUAGUAGCGAUCAUUCAGUCUACUAGGGUACCACAUAAUCAAAAUAAAGCCAUAUUUAUACAAAAUUUCAGUCUGACAGCCCUUUGGAUUUCCCGCCCCACUCCCCCGCCCAUCUGAUCGUUGAUAGGCUAGAAGGUUGAACGAGGCGGGCUUUCGUUUCCCGCCUUGCUCCGUUGGCCCAAUAGGAAGCUACCUUUUGUCUCUACUCAGGCCAAUCAGGAAAGAGAAGGCGGGAGUUAUUGAAACAAUGGGGUGACAGGGCAGGAACUGUCGGAUUAAGACCUGCUAGACCGAUUUCUAAAGGGAUUAAUGGCAGCAAUCAAGGGUUUCUGUCACGUAUACAGAUUUUAGAUAUGCCUUGGGGUGUCAGAGAUGGAAGCAAAGAUGGGUGGUGAUGAGCCAUAUUGACAGGCUCUGCAGGGCGCCUUCCUGAGGUGUCCUGGAUUUUCCUUUGGGUGAGAUAUGACAAUGUUUGCCUUGGGGCGAAUCACCUUUAGGUCAACACUCCGAAUUCGGCGACUCAAGCCCUAUAUUGUCCAUGCAAUCUGAAUUUGACUGGGUUUAGUGGUGGCAGAUUAUCCUUUUGUUUUUGGGAAGGGAAGCCUGGGUCAUAGGAAAUGGGAUAGGUUUUGGGGUUCAGGUUGAGUUCAAAAUAUUUCCUAUUUGAUUUCAUGACUUGGCAAUUAUAUGAAAUAAAAUGAAAAAUAAAAUAAAGUUGGAAUAUAAACCCUGCUGGGAAAAAUACAUAUUUUCCGGGGAUCCGAAAGAGUACACAUACAUAAAGGCAGAUAGAUAGUAAGGCAGGAAUGAAGGGGUAGGAGGAAAUGGCCAUAUAAGGAGGUACGAGCAGGCCAGGAACACAGCCGAUGGGUUAUCACAUGAUUUCCCCGAAAUCAUGUGUUUUGAGAGAAACGAAAGUAAUGAAAUGUAAUACUGCACCACAAAUAUGCACCAAUGGUUUGAUAUGUGGGCGGUCGUAAACUGAACCCACUGAAUUGUAUAAAUAGACACUUGACCCUGUCUGCAGGGUUCUCCCUUUUCAGCAUCUAGUUGUGCGUGGGAUGAACCUCUGCAGCUGCAUGAAUUUUAGUAAACUGCUUUCUUUGGAAAAAACUCCAGUUGUCUGUCUCCUACUUCCACUGCGUCCGCACAGACACACGACAAGCCGAGAAGAGGGGAAGUCUGGCUUCCGCUACAUUUUCUGGUGACCCCGACGUGAUUCCACAAUAAGACGGGCCAGGAGAUCGGAGACGGAUCCCGUUGGCGGGACGGUCCCAACUCAGCGGUGGGGGCCAGAGGCAACUACCGUGAGACGAGAAGGGGCCCCUGAAUAUUGCAAGACCGGCUGCGGUACUUGCCUCUGAUGCCAACGCCGGCCGACGGUGGGAGCCGCAAUGACAGCGAGGUUCCAAAGAAACCAGCCAGGAGGAAAAGGAUCCAGGGAAAAGUCCAGGGGCGAAGGUUGGUCCGACGUCUACAGCAAUCUGGCAAGUAUAGUGGUUAAAUGAGACACUAAGGGAACACAGUUACCGGCGCCGGGAGGGACACACAAAGGUUCCCAGGGAGGUAUAAAGGGGUUCUGUCUUGUGAUUCCUGACGCAUACCAUUGAGUGUCCGGGUGCCCAGGCCAAGGCAGUCCCCUCUAUUAGGCAGAAUGGGAGGCAGUGGGUUCAAAUCCACCACCCCAUUACAGUGUAUGGUAGACAAUUUCGGCUCAGUUGCAAGUAGAGCCGUAGAAGGAAUUCCCCAGAGAACAAGACUUGUGAGGCUGCCCCAAGACCAAGUCGUGCAGGGCUCAUGAGGAGUCGCAACUCCCGGGGAAAGGAAAAGAAAAAAAAAAUUGAAAAGAGGGAAGGUGGCAUACCCUUUUGAAAAAAAAACAACAACAAAAAACUGUUUGAUUUCUUUGUCAUGUGUGGGGAAUAAUGAGUUUCAAGUUCUGCAUGUUUCGUGGUAAUAUUGAAGUGAAAAUGAAAAAUGAGUCUAAAGAUUUACAAAAAAAAAUGUUGAGCACAAAUAUCUAGAAAUGUUUUAUUACGGUUGAAAAAAUCUGAUUCGAAGAGGGUCUGUCUGUGUUAGUUUGCUUUUGCUGACAAGCUGCAGAGAAAAAGAGAGGGAGGCUGUUAAAGUGGUGUUGAGGCUCAGAAACUGUCUUUCAAAGGAGUUUUCCUUGUUAUUUCUGAGGAACAAAGGCUGUUUUCUUAAAAAGUUUUCCUUUGCACCUGGGCCUCAUGCCAAAAAGAUAGUGGGAAAAUCUUGGCAGACAGUCCAAGGUAAAAACGAUAAGUUUGUUAGAAUGUUUCUUCCCUGUCAUUCUUGUUAAACUCAGGCGAAAUGCCCAGAGAAAGAUAAUGGAAUUCCAGUGGACAGCCAAGGUCAAUGAAAGCCGCUGUGAACUAGUGAAGUUUUAAAAAUGUAAUGUGAAUUUAAUAUGAAAAAAAGAAAGAAAAUGAUGAUGUAAAUAUAUAUAUAUAUAUAUAUAUAUAUAUAUAUAUAUAUAUAUAUAAUAUUGGGGUUCUGUCUUUCACCUGGAUCUUAAAUCCUUGCUUUGGACUUAUUUUGGGACAACUGGGUGAGAAUGUUUCAUGAGCUGAGAGAGAGUGUGUGACUUUAUCUAAACAACUAACCACUAAUCAGAAUUCCUGUGGACCUUGUGUGAAUGAGAUGUAUGUGUUGAAUUCAAAAUGCAUAAAGAGUUAUAAACAAUGUUAGUAGAUUUGUUCAGAAGCAAUUCGGAAGCUGUAGAUAUUUUUUUUUGGGAAAAAAAAAUGGUCUUAGGCUUGAAGAAAAAAAAAUCCUUGUUUUGAAAGAACAAUGCUUCAGUGUUUUUAGAGAACAUGGUGAUACAACAGAUAAGAGCUGGACAUCUGCCCAGAAAUUGAAUCUCAAGAAAAAAAAAAUGAGCCUGAACAAGUGCACUUUUGAAAACUCAAGCCUCUGUGGGCUACUUCCCCCUUUUUCUGUUCUACAGACUGUUUAAACCCCUUACAGGUUAUAGGGAAAUGUUGGAGGAGAGGAGUUAUUAGUUGUGGAGACUUUGUAUGGAAAACUGUCACAAGGUGGCAGUGCAAAAAAAAAAUAUAAUAUUUAUUUUUGGAAAAAAAAAUUGAUCCCAUAUUCCUGACACAGAAGGAUUAAGAACUGACAUUGAUUUUUAAAUUUUUGAUUGACAUUUUAUUCAAAAAGGGAGCUAGUGCCCAAGUGAUAAAAAGUUAUCCUUUUGAGAACCAAAGACAUGAUAUAAUUGGCUGCAUCUCAUGUUGCUUCAUAAUAAUUUUGUGAGAUUUGGAUUCUGGACUUUGUGAUUCUGGCCCAACUCUUUCUAAAGGUUACGGAAAGGGAGGACUAGGACUUUUGUAAACGGGACAUUAGAUCAUGCAAAUAGGGGCAUUUUUUCCAUCGCCCCCAGCCUGGAUUUUGCCAGAUUUGAGAAGCGGCAGGAGGCUUUUCAACGUGUGUUACUAACAAAUUUUGAGCUGUUCAACGAGUCGGUGUAAAAGGGGAAUUGAGUAAGUUUAACACUGCAGCAGGACUGGAGUGGAAGAUUGCAUUGCAGCAAGUGGAUAGACGAUUGUUAAAUCGUUUGCGGAAAAGAAAAGAAAAAAAGAUGCGGAGAAGAAAGAUUUUGUUGGAUUUCAAGACGGAUGAGUGUGUUGUCGAAGGCACAACCUCUGAGGAGGCCUGCCGUGGAUGUGAGUGAAACGACUAGAGAGAGUGCUUCAAGAGCCAUACAGCCUGGAAGGAUGAGUAUUUCCCUCCCCUUCUUUUCCCUCUCAUUGUUUUUUGCUACAGGUCCUGAACUCCUGUAUGGGAUAAACCCAGAAGUCUAUGAGACAUGUUUAUUGAGAGGCCUGGGAGGGCCUAUAGGUGUUGCUGAGUGUUAAGGCUGUGAUGGAGUGUGGCAUCAGGCUGGAGGCUGUAAGGGCUGACCAACUCAACAACAUACAAUUUUCUAUUUUGACCCAACUCUCCUGGUUAGGACCUUUUGUAACGGGACAUUGCAAAUAAUUCGGAUUUUUGCCGGAUUUGAGAGACAAUGAGGGACUUUUUCAUAUGCCAUCUAACAACCUUGCUUUUUAAGCCAAAAGGAGGAUAUAGCACGGAGGCAAUGUGACAAAGAAUAAAAUAAGUUAACCAUUGCAGCAGGACCAGAGUAAAAAGGAUUACUGCAGAUCGCGAAAGAAGGCCCAUGGAGGAAUCGUUUCUCAAGAGGCCAUGGAGGGGUCGUUUGGGAGCUGAAUAGUGGCCUACCUGCCCCACCCGUGGAGAGACAAGGGAUUUCAACAAGAUUGGCUGAGACAAAAGUGAUGCCGAACAGGAUGAUCGACAGAUGGGUAAUCCGUUCCCCCUCCCCCAUUCUCUCUCACUGUCUUCCUGCUUUCUUUUUCAGCUUUUUGGACUCCUGUUCCUAAAUUGGAGAUCCAUAAGGCAUUAUUACUGGAAGGCCUGUUUUGGAAUCCAAAACCUGCAGGAGUUUAAGUCUACCCCACGCCACACGCUGGGUAUACUGGGAAUGACAGCUAAAGCCCUGUGAGAGAUGGAGAUUUUCUUUACAGACUUUAUCUUUACACAGAGACAAUUCUUAGAGACUAGAGACUUGAUUGGACAAAGAGACUUUCUUCAAAUUAACUGAACAUUAUUCCUUUGAUCAAGGAAGAGGAAACACACCCCCAGUUUGACUUUAUGCCAAAGACUGAAAAGACCUGAAAGUUGGACAUGUAUGUGAAUGGCCACCUCUGGCCAUAGCAACAAAUCCAUCAUCGGAAGAAGCCAAAUGACUGGGCUAGAUCAGAAUUCUACUGUGGACUAUAUCCUUUCUAAAACCUGAUUAAUAUUUUUAAUCCUCAUGUGUUGUUUACCUCUGGUGAUGAAACUAUGUACAAAUGCUAUUCUGCGCUCAUUUUCCACUGAAAAGAUAGCUCGGCUGCAAGCGAGAAGGGAUUGGAGGGACCCAUAAGUCUGCUCAUUUGGUUUGCUUCAGCUUUGUAUACACGCUUCGCAAAAAAAAAAAAAAAUGGGGGAAUAAGGCAGGAAUGAAGGGGUAGGAGGAAAUGGCCAUAUAAGGAGGUACGAGCAGGCCAGGAACACAGCCGAUGGGUUAUCACAUGAUUUCCCCGAAAUCAUGUGUUUUGAGAGAAACGAAAGUAAUGAAAUGUAAUACUGCACCACAAAUAUGCACCAAUGGUUUGAUAUGUGGGCGGUCGUAAACUGAACCCACUGAAUUGUAUAAAUAGACACUUGACCCUGUCUGCAGGGUUCUCCCUUUUCAGCAUCUAGUUGUGCGUGGGAUGAACCUCUGCAGCUGCAUGAAUUUUAGUAAACUGCUUUCUUUGGAAAAAACUCCAGUUGUCUGUCUCCUACUUCCAUUGCGUCCGCACAGACACACGACAAGCCGAGAAGAGGGGAAGUCUGGCUUCCGCUACAAUAGAUUUCAUGGAAAUAAGGGAGAAUCCAUAAAAGUGAGUUACAUUGCAUAAAAGGGAAUCAUGAAUGAUAUAAACAAUUAAAAAUAUUUGAUAAGAACGAAGUUCAUAACAUCUGGAGAACCCAGCAUGGAAAUUCAUAAAAGUGGAGUUUUAGCAGCAUGAUUUUACAAUUCAUGAAGUUGUUAUCUCUUGCCUCAGAGUGCAGGGAUAAUCCACAGUAAACUCCAGUAAAAAGUCUCAAUCAC